rnacentral:rRNA from 1 species
GACGAAUGCUGGCUGCGUCCUUAACACAUGCAAGUCGAACGGUGAAGGGGAGCUUGCUCCCCGGAUCAGUGGCGAACGGGUGAGUAACACGUGGGCAACCUGACCCUCACUCUGGGCUAACUCCGGGAAACCGGGGCUAAUACCGGAUACGACCGGGGGCGACAUCGCUCCUGGUGGAAAGAACUUCGGUGAGGGAUGGGCCGGCGGCCUAUCAGCUAGUUGGUGGGGUAACGGCACACCAAGGCGACGGCGGGUAGCCGGCCUGAGGGGGGGACAGGCCACAGGGGGCCUGCGAGACGGCGAAGAGUCCAACGGGAGGCAGCGGUGGGGAAUAUGGCGAAAUGGGCGUAAGCCUGACGCAGCGGCGCAGCGUGUGCGAAGAAGGCCUACGGGUUGUAAACCUCUUUCAGCGGGGACGAAGCGAAAGUGACGGUACCCGCAGAAGAAGCACCGGCUAACUACGUGCCAGCAGCCGCCGUAA